rnacentral:sRNA from 2 species
GGCAUGUAUGGCCCUGGCAGCCAACCGAGUCAUUACGUUACUAGUAUAUUCAAGUUUUGACGAAAAGAACCAGUCCGCUGGGUCUCCCUGAGUUUUCUUGAACAAGCAAUUGAAGCAGGAUUACCGCCUCCCAUUUUGAAUCACCUAAACAAUUCCUGGUGCUUUUGCUUGAAGAGCUCUCCACUGGAUCGGCUAUCUUGAAAGCGUUAAUCCCAUUCUGCUCACAAAGGCUUGAUACUCGAUUGAUAACCAAAUUGACUUUAGUUGCGGAAAAUGUUCAAAAAUUAUGAGGCCACUUGGACCACGCGGUGAACUUAUAUAUAACCUCCAUCCCUUUCCCUCUAACUAGAGGACUUGGACUUAUACUUAUUCUGUUGACUGAAGCAAGCAAGCAGCGAGCAGCGUUAAUUUUUGUGCUAAGUUCCAUUGCGUCUCAGCGUUCAGCGAACUCCGUCCUCCUCUGAAGAAAUAUGUAGUACUUCUGACGAUGGCAUGUAUCAAAAUGAGAUAGGAUUUUCGUUAUAAUAAUUUACAUCUACUAUCCUCCAAAACAGCAGCCCAUUGCCUGCCCAGGUUAGGUGUGGAUUUUCCAUCUGUGCAGGCAUACCUGAGAAGAGCUUUUGACUCGCAUAAACGAUGAGGGCUAUCAAAUAACACGGGUCUAGGAUUUUCAUAAAUUGCAUAUCGAAAGUACCUCCGAAGCUAUAAGGUCUGCGAUCAUGAGAGCUCCAACGCUGAGAUCAGAAAGGGCACCAUUGAGACACGGCCAUUAAGCUGGUGAAAAAUGGGCUAUUUAUGCUAGAUGGCGGGCAAUAGCUCUGGGAUAGAGAGGAGUGUAGAUGGCAUGACUGUUGUUAGGUGGGAAUAUAUUCCCGGACGCCCUUUCUCCGGGGGUUGACUGGACAAAACGGUUGAGGAUGAAAAAUUUAACGGCCUGUAAGAGUACGAAGAGGAAGAAGGGAGUGGAACAGAUGCUGAAUAGGAAUGCAUUGUAGGGUUGGGGUGAAACCGAGAUGAGUGUAAAUCGAUGACUCGAGGAAAAAGGUAAGGGACCGACGGUGAAGAAUUGGACCCUCCCGAGAAGUGAUUGAUUCGAAAGAAUUGCAGGACUGCCAGCUGGCUCAUUGACGAAAUGCCGGUCAGUUAUUUCAACUGUUGCUCGUAUGCAGCUUUAUUCGUAACAAAAAUCCUCGGAGGAAAUGAUGCCCACCACCGGAC